UUAAGCAUAUCAAUAAGCGGAGGAAAAGAAACCAACAGGGAUUGCCCUAGUAACGGCGAGUGAAGCGGCAACAGCUCAAAUUUGAAAUCUGGCGUCUUUGGCGUCCGAGUUGUAAUUUGCAGAGGGCGCUUUGGCAUUGGCAGCGGUCCAAGUUCCUUGGAACAGGACGUCACAGAGGGUGAGAAUCCCGUACGUGGUCGCUAGCCUUUACCGUGUAAAGCCCCUUCGACGAGUCGAGUUGUUUGGGAAUGCAGCUCUAAAUGGGAGGUAAAUUUCUUCUAAAGCUAAAUACUGGCCAGAGACCGAUAGCGCACAAGUAGAGUGAUCGAAAGAUGAAAAGCACUUUGGAAAGAGAGUUAAAAAGCACGUGAAAUUGUUGAAAGGGAAGCGCUUGCAGCCAGACUUGCCUGUAGUUGCUCAUCCGGGUUUUUACCCGGUGCACUCUUCUAUAGGCAGGCCAGCAUCAGUUUGGGCGGUUGGAUAAAGGUCUCUGUCAUGUACCUCUCUUCGGGGAGAACUUAUAGGGGAGACGACAUGCAACCAGCCUGGACUGAGGUCCGCGCAUCUGCUAGGAUGCUGGCGUAAUGGCUGUAAGCGGCCCGUCUUGAAACACGGACCAAGGAGUCUAACAUCUAUGCGAGUGUUUGGGUGUCAAGCCCGAGCGCGUAAUGAAAGUGAACGGAGGUGGGAACCUUUCGGGGUGCACCAUCGACCGAUCCUGAUGUCUUCGGAUGGAUUUGAGUAAGAGCAUAGCUGUUGGGACCCGAAAGAUGGUGAACUAUGCUUGAAUAGGGUGAAGCCAGAGGAAACUCUGGUGGAGGCUCGCAGCGGUUCUGACGUGCAAAUCGAUCGUCAAAUUUGGGCAUAGGGGCGAAAGACUAAUCAAACUAUUUAGGAAUUGGUCCUGCAA
rnacentral:rRNA from 1 species